UACAGAGGUCUCAAGCGUUGUUCGGAUUCAUUGGGCGUAAAGGGUGCGUAGGUGGCGCCGUAAGUCAGGUGUGAAAUCUCGGGGCUCAACCCCGAAACUGCACUUGAUACUGCGGUGCUGGAGUACUGGAGAGGAGAUUGGAAUUUACGGUGUAGCAGUGAAAUGCGUAGAUAUCGUAAGGAAGACUAGUGGCGAAGGCGAAUCUCUGGACAGUUACUGACACUGAGGCACGAAGGCCAGGGGAGCAAACGGG
rnacentral:rRNA from 1 species